rnacentral:rRNA from 1 species
CAAUGGACGAAAGUCUGAUGGAGCAACGCCGCGUGAGUGAAGAAGGGUUUCGGCUCGUAAAACUCUGUUGUUAAAGAAGAACAUAUCUGAGAGUAACUGUUNAUAUAUUGACGGUAUUUAACCAGAAAGCCACGGGUAACUACGUGCCAGCAGCCGCGGUAAUA